rnacentral:lncRNA from 1 species
GACCUUAGUCCUUUGCAUCAUCAUAAACCUUGUGUUCACUCCAUCCAAAUUCUCACUGAUUUUAGCUAAGUGUGUGAUUCGCCGUACGAUCGACGCAGCCGGCUGUUGUGCCGGCGCAGGACUAUCUUCGACAUCCUCCAAAUACUUCACCGGAGGGCUCUCCACGCACGACGACGCCUCUUAUCCAACUGUAUUGAAAAAGACUCAUCCAACUGACUCAUAUCCAUUAAUUUUUUUUUAUUUUUUAAAUAGUAGCAUGUGCAUUGCACUCGCAUGCACAAAAUAACGGAUGAUGCUCAUCCAUAUGAGUCGACCUCGAUCGAGUCGCCCCACCCUGCAAUGGUCGACUCAUACCGCCAAAUCGACUCGAAUCGGGCGGAUGAGUCUAUCAACGUGGGUGCUCUAAAUUAUUAAGAGCUCAUUCUUAUAAUUAAGUUAUUUAUGAACUUAUUUUCUCAAAUAUUUUUUCAAGUAUUUAUAAGUUGUUUUAAGGUUAUUACUCAAAAACGAUGGGAGUGAGUACAAUAUACACAUAAAAUUAGCUAAUUAUGAAAAACAAUAAAUUGUUUCAAUGGCUCACUUUUAUAAACAGAAAAAGCACAGGAACCCAAAAUCACACAGCCAAUAAGCAUUCCCCUCUCUUUGCUAUUUAUGUUUAGGUAAUUACAUCACAUACAAAAUCACACAGCCAAUACUCAUUUCCCUUUCUCUGCUAUUUUUUACACAAAUACAAAUACAAUACAUGGCCAAAUUUUAUCUAUAUUUAAAAGUUGGUAGCCAAAAAUAGCAAGAUUACUGUACAUACAAAAUCAAUGCUUUCUUUGUUAGCUUGUGUGAUUGUGUUGAGCAUCAACUUUUCUCUUAGUAUAAUAUUAUUAAAAUUGAAAGCAGAAAAACGAGAGUUCAUAUAGUUUUAGUGAGAGAAAUGCAUACACAUUAGAUCUCUCUCUCUCUCUCACACACACACACACACACACUCAGGCAGACUGAAUACGCAGCGACGGCGAGUUAAUCUCCGGUGAAGUUCAGUUCCGGUACCGACGAGUGAGCUUACGAGCUCAACUCUCUCUCUCUCUCUCUAUAUAUAUAUAUAUGUGCAUGUAGUGAGCAAAUACAUAUAUCUCAUCUCACACACUAAUGAAACACAAAAAUACACUCACACAGAGAUGUAUGUGUUAGUUUUUUUAGAAAAUGAUACAACCACUAGAGAGAGAAGAGAAUCUUGUUUUUUUUUUUUUGCGAAGAGAUUAAUCUGUUUUUGUUCCUUCAUUGUUGAAGAAAUUUUGCUUUAACUGGCCACGCUAAAGUAUUCCAAUGUAAGAGAUUUUUUUAAUGCUUCUCAUCUUCCAUUUUUAGUUACAUAAAUUCCAUUACAAACCAACGUUCAUGUGUAUUAAAUACUAUGAUAUCAUAAAUAUACAAGUUACAAUCUAAAAAACAUAAGGAAAUAUAAAAAAUAAUGUGUGAUUUCAUUCUUUUUAUUAUCAAAAAGCAUUGUUCCAAGUUACAGGAAUUUCACAAAUAUUUAAUUUUCCAUUUAUCUUUCAAAAAUAAAGCUACAAUGUUUAUUAAGUAAAUACUUGUUGUUGACAAUUUCCAGGGUUUGUCUUAACAGAUUUAGCACCUGAAGAAAUUCACAGCUGAUUCAAGAAAAAGAGUGUUUGUGCUCUUCAACUUCAAAAAAUGGUAUGCCUCCCUUAAGCUCCCUAUCCAAGUAAUGGCACCCUGCUAUUGUGUUGAAUUAAUAUAUACAAGUUGAAGGAAUGUGAUGUUGCCUUUUCAUUUGAAUGUGGUAUAUAUCUCUAUAAUAGUAUGCAUUUUCUUGAUACAUAAUCCUACUUGUAAGUGCAAGCUGUAUAUAUUUUUUUUCAGCAUCAGUAAUGUGCUGUAGCUUUGAUGAUUUAAGAAAUAAAAAGGAAUUUGUUCAUUGUUAAAGAUUUGCUAUUUGAAAUUCAAAGCCUAUCUAAAGCUAAUAUUGUGAUUUAGAGUUAUAGACAGUCAAAGAAACAUGAAGAAGCUACAAAGACAUUCUUCUCUUGUGUUUCUGAGAGAACAAGGUCCAAAAGAGCCGUCUACUUAGGGAUCACUGCACAAACACAGGGGAUUCCUUCCAGCUCUUACAAUGAUAGUAUAAGAGAACGGAAGAGGAAGAGACAAACGAAGCCAAAAAAUACUGGUACUUUCAUAAAUAUGUGUAUAAUCAAACUUCAAAGGCAUUUAACUGUUUGUUUGUAAAAAAGAAAUUGUUGCAUAAGCUUCUCUUGGCUUGUAGUGUUUAUUUGCAUAUUAUUUCAAUGUGCAGGGAACAACAAUGUAGACGUGGAUAUGAAUCUACCUCAGAUAGAGUGGAUUGAUGAAUCUGUCUUCAAUCAAAUACGUUCUGCAUCAAAGAUAAGGGGCUCGACUCAUGCAGCCAGUUCUUGGAAGAAUGUUGGCAGUCCAAGCAACAAACCAUCUGCCUCUGUGGAAAAAUCGGCUGAGGAUUUCAGCCAUCUUCCUGUUCAAGAAGGUUAGUACAUGGAAUGCAUUUUAUCUGCUUGCUACUUCCCAAAUCUAGCUUAUUUUUGCUUGAUAUAUAGUAAUCCCUGCAUUUAGGCAAUGACAAAUACAUUAGCAUGCUGCUGUGCUUUCAUUAGAAAAUAUAUGGUUCUAUAGAUAAAGGGGAUCCAUAAAUUAGUGCUUGCUAAAAGAUUGGUUCCACAUCUGUGUUGUAUUCAUUCAAAUGUAUAAGUUUUGCUUCAGACUGAGAAAUGCAUAAGUUUUCUUUUCUGGUGUAGCCACCAAAUAAUGAUGAUUUUAUCCCAAAAUUAGCCACCAAGAGCUGCAUUGGCUGAUUAUCUGGAAAUGCUUGCUUGUAAUUUUUUGUGAUGCUCAGAGAGUGGCAGCGAGUAUAUGACGCCUGAGGAUCUUGAGAUCCAGAGAGUUGAUGAAGCUGAACUCCCGAAUAGGAAAACACAUUUCACAUCAAAGAGAGGGCAGUCAGAAAUGUUAGGCCUUUGUGAGUCUCCUCAUCAUUCCGUAAACUGCAGUUUAAGAGAUUAUUCCACUGCAUCUGAAACAUUGGCAGACGACUCAACUUCAUUGUCGAAUAAAGGUGACAAAGUCGUGUCUUUUUGAUACUCGGUCUGUUGAUGUUCAGUUCUUAUACUUUCUAUUGUUUUAACCAUGAUAUUGUUAAGCUAAGGUAUAUAUACUUCUGCAAUGAAGAUAGGAGUUUCAGAGAUGUUACGAGUAAGGGAAAUGGUGAAGGUGUGCUUGACAAAGGCAAAGCUCCCUUAUAUAGGCAAGGAUACUCUGCCAUCAGCUCUAAGAAGAAGAGGGCUGACAUUGUGAAAAUAUCUUCUAAAGGUAAUGAUACAUGUUUAAUGUGGUUUUGAAGUUGAAAUAGAUAAUGGAAGCAUGAUGAUUUUCUUUUCUUUAGUGAGCCGAGAUGAAGAUAUGGAUGAUGAAGAGCUUGAAAUUGAGAUGAUUGACGAGUCUGAGUUCAGGAAGCGUAGGAGACGUUUUGCUUCAAAGAUUGGAUCCUCGAGCAGUGAAGAGCAAGAUGAAGAACAUAUUGCUGGCACUUCUGCAAGGAAUGUUAGAAAAAUGAGCAAAAAGAAACCAUCUUCCAUCAAGAAUGAUAGAAACAAACAGAGGGGAAAAGCUUCUGUCUCAGCAUUGAAGAAGAAAGGUCCAGCAUGGAAUAAGCGCGUUGAGCAGGAGAUUGGAAGCGAAGAGCGCAGACAGAAACCUUCGUUUAGCUGGAUGAAUCCACGGUUCGAUCAUAUUUUGAAAGAAUACCACUACGAAAAAUUUGUAAGAAUCUCUCCACUCUCAAAUUCUGUGUGUGAAAGGCAUGGCAUCAUUACUAACUUGGCUUGAGUAAAUCUCAGCAUCUUCCAAGUAAUUUUGUUAAGGAGUCCGGCUUGACGGGAAAGAUGAAAGUAUGGCUCAAGUAUCCGGGCGGGAAGAGUGUACGCGUGCAGUUGAACUCGACCAAGGGCCGGGUUGAUAUCGGUGCAGGUUGGGCUCUGUUCUGGAGAACGAACAACAUCAUCUAUAACAAAAAUUAUUCUUUUGAGUUCAUUCCAACAAAUGUGAUUUGGGUGCAACCAAUAGAUUCAUGAAUGAACAUGCUCAGAUUUGUGUUUGGGAUUUCUCAAGUUCUUUCAUGUAAACUGUAGCUUUUGCUUCUUCUGCUGACAUGUAGUAACAUUUGCAGAGGCCUCUCUUCUUCUCUAUAUCUUUCUCUCUUCCAAAAUCUUGUGAUAAUUGAUAGAAUUAGGUGGGUUUGAAAACAGAGGAUUCUAUUUACAUUUGAGGGAGCCAAAUAUAUGAGUUGCUUUCCGGUUAAUUCAUUCAUUAUAAUUUAAAACAGAGUUUUUUAAUUUGAAACAUAGUUUCUUUCUAAUUAAUUAUAAUUUAUAUUCAAACACUAUAUAUGACGAUUAAUCGUCUAAUCAUCUUUACAAACCAAGACUAACUCCAAAAGCUCUACAUCUCUAGUUAUGUGACCUUAGUCCUUUGCAUCAUCAUAAACCUUGUGUUCACUCCAUCCAAAUUCUCACUGAUUUUAGCUAAGUGUGUGAUUCGCCGUACGAUCGAUGCAGCCGGCUGUUGUGCCGGCGCAGGUGCAUCUUCGACAUCCUCCAAAUACUUCACCGGAGGGCUCUCCACGCACGACGCCGCCUCUUCUAUAAUGCUCUUGAGAGCCUCCACCACCUUGCUCAUCCUUGGUCU